rnacentral:rRNA from 1 species
UACGGGGGGGGUAAGCGUUGUUCGGAAUUACUGGGCGUAAAGGGUUCGUAGGCGGCCAACUAAGUCAUACGUGAAAUCCCUCAGCUUAACUGGGGAACUGCGUGUGAUACUGGAUGGCUUGGAUUUGGGAGAGGGAUGCGGAAUCCCAGGUGUAGCGGUGAAAUGCGUAGAUAUCUGGAGGAACACCGGUGGCGAAGGCGGCAUCCUGGACCAAUAUUGACGCUGAGGAGCGAAAGCCAGGGGAGCAAACGGG